CUGGCUUUAACUGAAAGUCACCAGCUACAGUAGUCCCUAAUGACAGAGUCAGCCUGUCUUUUGAAGCUCUCAAGGAAGCUACUGGAGGAUAUGCUCUACCAAAAUGAAGAAUAAAAUCGAGAAAGAAUAUGACAUGAGAUGAAACACAAAAGAGAAGAGAUAGGAACUCCCAGGAGAACAAGGUGGAAUACAUUCCCUGUUUAAAGGCUACCAUCAUAAACAAGAAGACUAUUAAAUAACAAGAGAGGGAAGAAAAAAUGUUUUCCAGGCUCUGUGCAUGU